rnacentral:sRNA from 1 species
UUUCACCACACCUAUCAUGUUCUUCAUUACUCUCCGCACCCCUUCCAUACACUGCUCAAAAGAAAAACGUCCCCACGGGAAUGUCUCACAAGCUCUGACAUUAUCCACAAUCCUAAGAAGCAACUCCUCUAUCUUCGAAUCCCCUUUAGAAUCAGCUUUCAUAACCUUAGCUAAGAAUAACAGAAUUGUCAACUUCAACCUAGCAGUAGACUUCUCACUCUUAAACUCUUCCAGCUUCUCUUCCACGUCUUUAAUCUUGAUGUCCUCAGUCCUCUUAAACAACUUCUCAACAAACUUCAAACUGCCUAAAGUCUUAUAGUUUUUUGGGUACUCACGGCAGUUCAAACCGGUCAACAAUGCAUGCUCUCUAAUUGAGUACCUUAUAGGUACUCCAUUGACAACAAACCAACACUCUCUCGCCAAUUCUGUCUUAGCCGUGCGAACCAUAAGCAUCCACAUGCCUUGAAUCAUGUGAUUGGGCUCCUUAGGCAUGUGGAAUAUGUGCUUAAAUUGGUCAUGAUUCCUAAACCACUUCAGUUCUGCAUCCAAAGUCUCUAUAAAUUCCACUGUUUGUACCAACUGACACCUCGUUCCUAUCUUACACACCUUCGUGUAGGUAGUUGGAUCAAAGUACAUAACUUCUGGCGGCAAUGGUUGAUUAUCAUCAUCAUCAUCAUCAUCAUCAUCAUCCUGCAUAUUCUGCGGCUGAAGAUCAUCAUCACCAUCCUGCAUAUUCUGCGGCAGGUUAUCAUCAUCACCAUCAUCCUGCAUAUUCAAUUCAAAAUACUUUCAAUUUCACAUUAACUACCUAGUUGUACUACUUGUUCCUGAAUGACCAUUCACAAAUUUACGACCUAGUUGUACUACUUGUUUUAUCUGAAGCACCAUUCACAAAUCCAAUCAUUUACCAAUGCAUGCAUAAUAUCCUAAAACGAGCCUAAUCAAAAAAAUAACGGUCUUCUAUCAUACCUUAUUUGCUCCAUCAUCAUGUUGAACAACUGCAUUCGUUGCCUCUUCUUCUUCUGCACAAGAAUCGGCAUUUGGGUCUGAAAGAUCGUCAUUUGAUUCCCAUGCGACGGCGUUUGAAUUACCCAAAUCGGCGGCGUCACAAUCGCCGGUUGUAGGCUGAAUUUCUCCGGCUUCCUCUUCUGUUGUAGAAAUUUCGCCGGUCGCUUCAACCCUAGUUGAUUCAUAUUCUCCAGAUGAGUCUUUUACUCUAGCCAUAUGAAAGAGACAAAGACGAACUGAAAUUGGUGGUGUCGUCGGAGACGAGAGAAGACGACGACGGAGAGAAGAGGAAGAAGUCGAGAAGUGAAAAGGGGGAAGAAUUAAGUUUUUACUUAGGUUUUUUCUGUAGUUAGGGUAAAUAAUACAACUGGGCCGAGUAUUUACAUUUUUCUUUGGGCCCGAGCCCAACAAAUUAAGUUUUCGUGGUUUCGCCUGGGUUUUUCGUCAUUUCGUCAUUUUUCGAUUUUAAUAAAAAUUAAUAAUAUUAUUUUAAACAUAAGAAUGGCACGAGUGAUUAUUUCUUUUCCAAUAGUGGCAUAAGAGGUGAGCUCUCGGUUCCAGGCGGUGAGAAAGACAGAAAGAGAGCUAGCGAAGGUACAUUUAAAGU